CCCUCCUUGCUGGAACUUUUCCCUGGAAUCUUCUGAUAUGGGUCGCUAAUGGAGCUACUAAACAGCACUGGCCACAGAACUGACCUCUGAUUUAUGGAACCAUAGAAUUGAGUUGGAAGGGAUCUUUCAAGGCUGUCUGAUCCCACUUCCCUGCAAUGAACAACCACAGUUCAGUUGUGCUCAGAUCCCCAUCCUGCCUGACUUUGGGUGACUCCAGGGAUGGGGCAUCCUGAAACUGGACUUUAUACUGCUUAUGACAACCCUCUGUGUCUCUCCUCUCAAGCUAAUGAGACACGAGUACAAAUUUCAUGUUGUUGAGUGGUUAUUUUAUCUACUUGUCAUUUACAUUUCAAAUAGAGGAGUUCCAGACUAACAGUCUCCUUUUACCCCUAAAAAGACGGCAAGCAAAGGCAAGUUUGCUGUUACUUUUUGGAUCAUCUUCAUUUGUUCUUAGCAACCACGAUCUAUGUAAGACAAUAAAACCUGUAAUGAGUUCCAGCACUGCUCCUUUGUACGUGCAUCACUGAUGGAAAGCACCACUGGGUUCUGCCAUUCAGCAGCUCCUGCCAAGAGCUAUCAAAGCUGGCAGCUGUUCUACAGUCUGGAUAUUUUUCACUUGUGGAGAGAUAACUGGUGCAAAGUUGAGGCAGCAGCCUUUAGAAGCAUUUCUUGGAACUUCCCUGAAUGCAGUACGUAGCCUGGCAUUAAAACCUUCCAGAAGAAGAAGGAUAGCCAACAGUAACUUCUCCAUGUGCAAAUCAAUGAAAGAUUCAAGGUCUGUCCAGGGAGACUAAUUAUAAAAUGAAAGCCAAGGAGGCAAACAAGCAUUCAAAGUGAAUAAAAAAGGAAUUAGUUGGGAAAAAAAUAACACAAAAUGCCUCAACACAUGGGUUUCUUGAUGUUGGCUUGAAAGAUCUGACACUUAUUUGGUGGAGAACAAGGAGGGACAUCUCUCUUGGGGGUCUGACCUUCUUGCUCUCUCUUUAAGAGAUUUCAAAUAU